GAAUUCGCCCUUAGAGUUUGAUCCUGGCUCAGGACUAACGCUGGCGGCGUGCCUAAUACAUGCAAGUCGAACGGUCGUGCGUUUGUAGCAAUAUGGACGUACGAUAGUGGCGAACGGGUGAGUAACACGUGGAAAACCUACCCUCGAGCGGGGGAUAACUCCGGGAAACUGGGGCUAAUACCGCAUGACAUCCCAACCUGGCAUCGGGAGGGGAUCAAAGCCGAAAGGCACUUGAGGAUGGUUCCGCGGCCUAUCAGCUAGUUGGCGGGGUAACGGCCCACCAAGGCGACGACGGGUAGCCGGCCUGAGAGGGCGAUCGGCCACAAGGGGACUGAGACACGGCCCCUACUCCUACGGGAGGCAGCAGUAGGGAAUUUUGCUCAAUGGGGGAAACCCUGAAGCAGCGACGCCGCGUGGGCGACGAAAUCCUUCGGGAUGUAAAGCCCUUUUAACCGGGACGAAAUACAUGACGGUACCGGUGGAAUAAGCCUCGGCUAACUCCGUGCCAGCAGCCGCGGUAAGACGGGGGAGGCAAGCGUUGUCCGGAAUCACUGGGUGUAAAGGGCGUGUAGGCGGGCCGGCUAGUCGGUUGUUAAAUCUCUCCGCUCAACGGAGAAGCUGCGGCCGAUACUUCCGGUCUUGAGUGCGGCAGGGGAGGAUGGAAUUCCUGGUGUAGCGGUGAAAUGCGUAGAUAUCAGGAGGAACACCGGUGGCGAAGGCGGUCCUCUGGGCCUGCACUGACGCUGAGUGCGCGAAAGCUGGGGUAGCAAACAGAAUUAGAUACUCUGGUAGUCCCAGCCCUAAACGAUGG
rnacentral:rRNA from 1 species